UCCAUCGUAGCUCAGUUGGUAGAGCAUCGGACGUGUAAUUCAGAGGUUGUGGGUUCGGAUCCCACCGAUGGAA